rnacentral:rRNA from 1 species
GGUGAACGCUAGCGGCAGGCUUAAUACAUGCAAGUCGUGGGGCAGCAUGAGUGUAGCAAUACAUUUGAUGGCGACCGGCAAACGGGUGCGGAACACGUACAGAACCCUCCUUCAAGCGGGGCACAGCCCAGAGAAAUUUGGAUUAAUACCCCAUAAUAUAAUGAAGAGGCAUCUCUUUGUUAUUAAAGAUUUAUCACUUGAAGAUGGCUGUGCGGCUGAUUAGGAAGUUGGCGGGGUAACGGCCCACCAAGCCUGCGAUCAGUAACUGGUGUGAGAGCACGACCAGUCACACGGUAACUGAGACACGGGCCCGACUCCUACGGGAGGCAGCAGUAAGGAAUAUUGGUCAAUGGACGCAAGUCUGAACCAGCCAUGCCGCGUGGAGGAUGAAGGUCCUCUGGAUUGUAAACUUCUUUUAUAUGGGACGAAAAAAGGCUUUUCUAAGUCGUCUGACGGUACCAUAUGAAUAAGCACCGGCUAACUCCGUGCCAGCCGCCGCAGUAAUAC